rnacentral:lncRNA from 1 species
AAGAAUUGUGGUUCAUCCGAAAUUUGAAAUACCACUCUUUUUCUAAAACAAUCAAUAUGUGUAUGGUACGAAGAUAACCAGUUCAUCCCAAGAAUAACAUCAAAAUCAUACAUAUUUAGUUGAAUCAAAUUUGUUGCUAAUUCUUUUUUUUCUAUUUAGAUUAUACAAUUCUUAAAAAUAAUGUUAGCAACAAUAAUAUUUUUAAAAGGUGUGCUAACAUAUAAUGGUUCAUUUAGUUUUUCAGGCACACAAUUCAAAGAAGUAGCAAACUUGAGAGAUAUAAAAGAGU